GAGGAGAACUGCGAGCCCGACAGUGUCUUUGAGGUCCUCCAGGAGGGGGGAGGCCUGAUCCUGCCAGGGGUGCAGGCUGCCAGCUCUCCUCACACUGGUGAUUAUUCACCUCAAAGCACUCAGCAAGGGGCCCGGCCCCGCACCUGCGCCUCUGCGGCCUCCCAGGCUUGUGGACACAACGGAGCAUGGACGGGCAGCCCAAGGUCCAAGGGAGCAGCGAGGCAGUUCAUUGGAAAUGACUUGGCAGAGAAGGUGGGAAUGUAGCAGGAAGAACUGAAAUAUCAAAACGUAAACUAUAGAAAAGGAAGUUUGGGCUGAUGCACACAAGGAGCUUCACGGUGCUUUGGGAGGACCUACUACUCGCAUCCUAUGUGUCAUUCACUGUGGGUGAAAGUGGUUUUGCCUUUCUGGACAAUAAUAAAGGAUCCACUCUGCGCUACAGGGCUGGAUAUUUGAUCUGAAACAUUACCUGGCUUCUUUCCCAGUGUCAUCAUCUUCAAUUAAAAGACAUUUUCAUCUGCUCGUGGAAGACAUUUUAGCACAAGGGGAACACUGAAAAAUGAGCAGCUCGCACCCUGAACUAAGAGCAUGUCUCGCAGCCAGCGUGGCAUGGAAAAUGUGUGUGUGAUUGAUUUUGUUGCCUGGAGCCAGCGUUGAUUUGAGAUUCUAAUUUGCUGCAGCGAGCCGAGCUUGGGGACUUUGCUGCAGCCAAGCCAGGGCUCUGCAAGGACUUCGGUUUUAUUUCCUGCUUUUGCUGAGCUGGGAAGCACUGGCGGAGAGAAGGAUACCUUAACGCAGCAGGAAAGGAAAAGAGCCCCUCUGGGUCAUUGCCAGCUGAGAGCGGGGUUGCCUUUGUGCACAGGAGGGGACAAGGAGCUCUGCCCUGGCCUCCUCGCUGCUGUUUGCUGAGCACAGCUGGGAGAAAAAAAAUAACAUUUUCCCCAUCCCAGCCACCAGCAAGCCUGCCUCUGUCCCCAUCGCGAGACCCUCAUAUUUGACUUCAGGGGAAAAUGAAGGCAUCCCAAUCAACAGCAAAGUCAAGACAGGACAAGAAAAAAGCAACGUAGGGAUGAAGCGAAGAAUUCAGCUUUAGGCUUAACACGCACUGCUCUUCGCUUUGAAAACCAACAGAUGAAUCCCCUUUUGAGAUGGAGAGGGGGAAAAAUAAUGUUUGAGCUUUUGAAAAUUUUCCCUGUGUUAUUUGCUGAAUUUGACUUCAAGCUGCAAAUAUUCCGCUCUCCAUAAAGGGCAUGCAUCUUCUUAAGCAGGUUUACCUUUCAGCUCUAACCACCGCUUGUCCCUCAUGCUUGCAGAUACGUUUCGCCGACAGGACCAGGCUUUUCAGGAACGGCCUUUAGCAGUGUCCUGGGAGCUCACAUCAAUAGGAGAAACGUGCUAGAUUCUCUCUGUUCUACUUCUAAACACCUUCCCCUUCCUUUCAAUGUUUCCCCCUGCCUCAAAGAGUAGCUGAGCUGUAGAUCUUCAAUUAUUUUGUGUCUUUAUCCUAUUUAUGCAUUGCAGGACAUUAGAAACAACUGAGAACUGAAUCUGUCUCUCAAAGUCACAGCAUACAAUAUAAGGCCCCCAGACAUUUUCCUGCAGUCAAAAAUCUGAUAUUUCAUAUAUUAAAUCAAUGUAUU